UUUAGGCAGUGACUUUCUACCGCUUGUCGGAUUUUCUUGUGCAAUGUGCCAGGAGUCUGGAGAAACUGGAGAAGAGCCCAAGAGACAUUUUUCAUCCUGAGAUACAAAAGGGCAGGGAAGGACUCUGGUAUCCCGGUCGUCAGACUCGGCGCUGCCCGAGAAGAUACAGAGACUGUAAAAAUCAUAAGAAGCAACUAGGACUGCAGAGGAAACAAACUGGAGAGAACAAAAGGUGAUAUUGUUCUCCUUAGCCUGGAUUAGAAACAUCCACUGCGCUUUGAUGCCGGUGGCUGCCAGGGGCUCGUUAGGUCUCUUGAGGCAGGUGUAGGUGUUCACUUGUAGGUUCUAUUUUUUGGCAAAGGACCACGAGAGAAGUUUAUUUAUAGAUCCAAAUAAACAUUCAUCUUAUCUGAACAUAACCUGUCAUCCCCUUUCUGACAUUAAGGACUCCUGUAUAAAUACUUGGGGGGGUUUUCUUUGUCGUUUCUGAAUGGUUCCAUUUUGCCGGCUACUUGAACAAAUCUGAGGGGGUUUAAUUGCAUACUGCUUCCUUGAAAUUCUGUUGGUCUCUGCUUGGAACCCUUCUUGUACUGCUUAAUGAAAGACUUCUGAUGGUG